AACGAACGCUGGCGGCAUGCCUAACACAUGCAAGUCGAACGAGACCUUCGGGUCUAGUGGCGCACGGGUGCGUAACGCGUGGGAACCUGCCCUUAGGUUCGGAAUAACUCCCCGAAAGGGGUGCUAAUACCGGAUAAUGUCUUCGGACCAAAGAUUUAUCGCCUUUGGAUGGGCCCGCGUUGGAUUAGCUAGUUGGUAGGGUAAAAGCCUACCAAGGCGACGAUCCAUAGCUGGUCUGAGAGGAUGAUCAGCCACACUGGGACUGAGACACGGCCCAGACUCCUACGGGAGGCAGCAGUGGGGAAUAUUGGACAAUGGGCGAAAGCCUGAUCCAGCAAGGCAGCGUGAGUGAUGAAGGCCUUAGGGUUGUAAAGCUCUUUUACCCGGGAUGAUAAUGACAGUACCGGGAGAAUAAGCUCCGGCUAACUCCGUG
rnacentral:rRNA from 1 species